rnacentral:misc_RNA from 1 species
AAUAAAAUCACUUCAUCUUCUCUCCUCUUGUCUCCUAUUCUCCACCACCAUCAACACGCUAAUCCUCAAAACCUAGACCUCUCUCUUAUUCGUUUGGUGAGAACAAAGACCAUGACGAAGCAAAAGCUGGUGAUCAAGGUGUCCAUGGAUGGCAGCGACAAGACUCGCUCCAAGGCCCUGCGAAUUGUAGUCGGCAUUUAUGGAGUGCAAUCCGCGGCUGUAGGGGAGAAAGAUAAGAACGAGCUAGAGGUGAUAGGAGAAGGAAUAGAUCCAGUGAAAGUGACGACUUCAUUAAGGAAGAGGUUAGCGAAAUGGCCUUUCUUAACUUGUUUGUUACCAAACACUAUGGUGUAUGCAGAGCUUGUAAGCUUAAGCGAUGUAAAGGAGGAAAAAGAAAAGAAAGAAGAGCCUAAACCACAGCCUCCUCCUGAGUGGUCAUACACCAUUCCUUCAUAUCCCAUGCCUCCUUAUUAUAUCUGCGAGAUAUAGCACUAUGAUCGAUGCUGAGGAAUAUACAGUGCACUCCAUGCACAUGCACCUUAUUUCACAGCUAUGUAAAAUCCAUUAUCCAAGAGUACUAAAUUUAUGUACUUUCAGUGCAUAGAAGAUAUAUGGAUGAUCCCCACUCUUUCUUCAUGUGACAAUAUACAUAUCUUUAAGUGCUUUCUAUAAUUAUCUACUUUGUUUAUGCUUUUUGUUUAUCAUACCACAAAAUUGUGUUGCAAUAAGAGAAUUUAAGCAUAUAUGACAACGGAUUU